AUUGAACGCUGGCUGCAGGCCUAACACAUGCAAGUCGAACGAGAGGCGGACGGGUGAGUAAUACAUGGGAAACUGCCUGAUGGAGCGGGAUAACUACUGGAAACGGUAGCUAAUACCGCAUACCAUCGGAUGUACCCAGAUGGGAUUAGCUAGUAGGUGGGGUAAAGGCCCACCAAGGCGACGAUCCCUAGCUGGUCUGAGAGGAUGACCAGCGACACUGGAACUGAGACACGGUCCAGACUCCUACGGGAGGCAGCAGUGGGGAAUAUUGCACAAGGGUCGCAAGCCUGAUGCAGCCAUGCCGCGUGUAGGAAGAAGGCCUUCGGGUUGUAAAGUACUUUCAGCGGGGAGGCGUUACCCGCAGAAGAAGCACCGGCUAACUCCGUGCCAGCAGCCGCGGUAAUUC
rnacentral:rRNA from 1 species